GGAAUUCCAAGGUCACAGCCUGAACCAACACAUGAGCACGUAAGUGCCUGUAGUGGGGGUGUAGGGGGUAGAGCCACCCUUUCUGUCUCAGUGAUGUUUCCAGGAGUGUGUGUGCAGUCUGAGUCUGCGUGAGUUCCCCUUCCCCCACUGUUCUCCUGCGGCGUGAGAGUACAAAUGGGAGAAGGCUGCAUUCCUCAGCUCGCCUCUUUCUCCAAACUGUUGCUGGGAGGGGUGAGUUAAUCCCUCUUUGAUAUCUUUUCCUAUAGCGCCUAUUUCUCAAAUAAAGGCUCUGUCAUCGCCUUUGUUUGCUCUACAUCUUGGUGAGAAAGGCAGGAGCAACAUCACUCCAGCAUGCUCUAGUCCAUGAGGAAAUAUCAUGACACCCUGUGGUGCACUGCUGAACUUUUGGGAACUGGCAAGCCUGAAUCAGAAGUGCUACUGGUCCAUGAAGAUAUGCCUCUAGAAAGAAUAUCAAGUACUGGCCCAACAGAACCGUGGAAAAGACUGCCUAUAAUUGCCUUUAUUGCCUUAACAUUCUGCACUGUGGCGGGUAUUGUACAUGCAUCGUGAAGUACAUUGUAUUUUGAGCCACCAAACUGCAGGAGCUCGCUUCCUACCUGCUCAGUCAUUGGUUCAUGCUGUGAAGGGGUUGGAGUGUAGUGGAAUUCCUAGGUCACAGUCUGAACCAAUGGGUGAGCACAUGAGUGCCUGGAGCGGGGGGGGGGGGGCUAGAGUCACCCCUUCUGUCUCAGGGAUGCUUCUUGGAGCGCGUGUGCAGUCUGAGCCUGUGUGCGUUCCCUUUCCCCCGCCCUUCUGCAGCGCAAGAAUGCGAACAGGAGAAGGCUGCGUUCCUCAGCUCGCCCCUUUUUCCAAACUGUUUUUUGGAGGGCUGAUGAGGUGCCCUUCUAUGUUACAAGGAAUUCCUUUUACAUCACAGUGGUAGAGCUGGUUAAAAACACCAUCUGCUCUCAUAAAUGCCUGGACUGUGUUUAGCCACACUAUUCAAAAACUUGAGAAUAGCUACUGAAAGCUGGAGAUGAACCCUUGAAGUACACUGGAUGACAUCCGAACACAUCCAACAGUUAAGUGAAGGACCAAGUACUAUAAAAAGUCAAGGCAGGAGCAACAUCACUCAAACACGCUUAUGAGGAAACAUCAUGACACCCUGUGACGCACUGCUGAACUUUUGGGGACUGGAGAGCAUGAAUCAGAAGCGCUACUGGUCCUUGAAAAAGAUACGCCUCGAGAAAGAACAUCAAGUACUGGCCCAACAGAACCGUGAAGGGGACUGCCACUGAUUGCCUUUAUUGUUUUGACAUCCCAUAUUGCGGCGGAUGUUGUGUAUGCGUCGCGAUGUGCAUUGUGUCUUGGGCCACCAGGUUGCAGGGGCUCACCCCCUACCUGCUCAGUCAUUGGUUCAUGCUGUGAAGGGGUGGAGUGUAGUGGAAUUCCAGGGUCACAGCCUGAACCAAUGGGUGGGCUCUGUGAGUGUGUGAGUGCGGCGGCGCGGCAGUACGAGCGGGGGAGGGACACAUUCCUCAGCUCGGCUCUGCCUGCGCGCUGCUACCGGGAGGGGUGAGUCGAUUCUUUUUGAUAUCUUUCCCUCGUGUGCCUAUUUCUUAAAUAAAGGCUUUGUCAUUACCUUCAUUUGCUCUACAGCUACAUAUUACCUACAAAAAAUAAUCCACAGAAAGGAGAUCAGUGACUCUUUCCCAUGGCCUGAGGAAGCUCUUGGAAUUAUAUGGACAGAAGUAGAAGAGAGUCACUUCCUUGGCCUGUCCUAUAGCCACAGAGACUCCUGUUGCAUUUUCCAAGCUGCAAACUAAGGACUAAGCAACCUCUGCCCUUCCUGCAGCCAGCACUCCCCUGAUGUAGUCCAGUGUGUGUACAGGGAACCUUGGACAGCUCUUAGCUCUCUCACCCACUGCUCCUUUCUGUACUCAGCCCAAACACAGAAACCAGAUCACACAAGUUUUCAGACCACAGAUCACAUGUUCUAGCUCUUUUGUACAACACAUGUCCAGAGACAGUUUAAUAAUACUUUCAUCAGAGACUUACAGGCACUUACAUAAAUGGUUCAGCUUUCUCAGCUGUAGGCACCAUUUUUGACAGAACUCAUCUUAGUAUAUUCACAUGAAAUACAGAAAUGAGUUGAAGUAUUUGUGUCUUUAAAAUGAGGAGAAGAAAAAGCCAGUCUGAACUCAAAUACCUUGGCUUACCAAUAUCACAUUUUUUUUUUUAACUAUUUACAGACAUUUUAAAAACACUACUUACAUGCCCCAAAAUGAUGCUUUUAAACAUAAUUCCAACUACAGUUAGCUCAAAUUAUCUAAGCUUUUUUUUUCCCCCGAGUAUAGCAAAGUAAUGCCUCUCAAAUUUAAUUUACAUAAUAAUUAAGCUAGAUUUCUCUGAAGACUCAUACAAUAUAAUCCCUAUUUUAUCAAUAAAUAGAUGGUUGUUGCAUAUUUUACAAUUUAUACAGAAUUGUAUGGAAUGUACUAAAGGAUAUUAACUAUGGCAUCACUUACUGACCACAUCAUACAAAUAUCACUUGUGGGUUAGAGCUCAUGAGAUUUUAAGGAGUUUUUAAAAACAUUUAUCAAUAAAUAAACAAAAUACUUUUUAUGGAGUCUGAAAAUUAAGAAAUUGAGAUUGAGGAUGUGGUGCAUCAGGAAUUAUGAUACAGGAUACAAAAUCAUUCUUCCAUUGAAUGCCACUGAUCUGACAGUUUUUUAUAAUGCAGAAAAUAGCUUUUGUACCUGAAACUUGUCAAUGCCAUCAACAGAGACAAGUGAGGCGUUAUCAGAUGGACAUAGCAUGGAAUGCCUUUUCUGUUUAAGGUCUAAGGAUACAGUUUGCACAUGGAAGCCUAUCAGUAAUUGUAGCUGUGGAACUAUUCAUUUCACAGGUUACAUUGGUACUGCUCAAAAUUAUCUCAUCCCAAUGUUUUCCUACAGUCAGUGAAAAUCAUAGCCUGAAACAAUUUAAACCUUUUGAGGGAAACAACAACAAAGUACAACAGAAGAACCCCCCUCUAACCUACCUCAACUCUUUCACCCAUAUGAAUGAGUAGAGUAUUUGCUAUGAGCAUAUUACAGUUCAAAGGAGUUUUUUUCUUCAGAAUUAUCCAUCAUCAACAUUUCACUAAUUUGCACAAUCAUCCUAACUCCAUAAGCAUACUCCUCCUGGUGCAGAGACAAAUUCAGACAAAGGAGAUCACCUUCAAAAACCAUUAAAAAGUUGGGGAGAUGAGUCAACAUUUGUAUAUUUUUGAUCUUUCUAUAAUUUUAGAUUAAAGAGGACUGUUUAUUUCCACACAAAAUUGAGAUCACUGGUCUGACUGGUUUCACAGAGCGUUUCAGAUAAACUACAUUUUCUUUACACUACAUGCUACAGCUUCCUUUGGUGGGGAGAAAAACAGAAUGACAGUAGUGAAGGGAACACAGCCCAUAUUCCAGUCUGAUACAUUACUAAGCCACACUUCCACUGUUUGCAAUAUUAUUAGAAGUGCUGUUUCGCACAGUCACUGGUGCCAGAGGACUCAAAAUCAAAUCUGAAGUCAUUAUAUAAAAAUGAUACUGCAGAACUCAAUUUUAACUUCAUUAAAGUAACAAAAUAGCUGACAAAUGGAGCCAUCCACUCUGAUGUGUCUCAGCUUCAAAUAACGCAUAAAACAAUUGGAAACUCAGCCUUAGGGCUGCUGCUGCUGCUUUAAAGUAGUCAGUAGUACUGACAGAGUUAAAAACACUGAAAUGUAACACUACAGAAUUAAAAAGUUAACAAUAAGUCAUGAACCUAACUAAAAUGCAGGUUGAAGUCAAAAGAACAUGAUUAAGACUACAUGGAACCUUGAGCAGUGUUUGAAAGGGAAAGAUGAAGUCUUUUGUUAGGACAGCACAAAUCAAGGACAGCACAGCGUCCCCAGAAUGAUUACACAGCCCUGAAUGAUUUCAGGAAGUUAUGAAAUAAUUUUAGCAAAGAACAACACACAGCACAUACAUUUAAUAAAUUUUCAUCAACUGGCAAACUAUAACAUUAUCAACCUGUUUUUUCUACCCAUUUAUAAAACUGAUCAAACCCACUUCAGAGCAUGUACAUCCUAAAAUCUGCUGUGGCAUAUAUCUUAUUUCUGCAUCCUGUAACUUUAAUUAUUUUAAACUUGCAUCUAAAUAGCUGAAGACAAAAGCUUCAGAACAUGACUUUCACAGUGUAAAACACUGCUGCUUAUUACAGAGUAAACCAAAUUCAGGUUGUAUUUUCCUCUUCAAUAUCUGAUCUUUUAAACUACUCACGUGCUUUACAAGCUUCAGAUAAACUACAUUUGUUAUUUGUUACCUCUAGAAACAAGAAGUCAAAUAUCUGUCCUUUCUUUGAAAGCUUUUUGUGUACUCCUUAUACAGCAUUGGCCUAUCAAGAAAGUAGUCCAGGCUUGGUUGUAGCAUUGCUUCAACAUCAUCAACAGGAAAAAAAAAAAAAAACCAACACAAAAAGCUCUUUCCUUAUUAAAAUUAAUAACAAUAACUAGCCAUCUCUGGAAAACCACAGGAAUUAGAAAUUUUAAACCAACCAGUUUGACAGCAUCCUCUAAUUUCACUGCCUUCUACACAGGCCAUUCUGACUUCACAACUCAAAUAUAUGUUUAAGGGGAAGAAAAGCACACUUCUAAACUACAAGCAAGAUUUUAAAUUAGUCAAAAGUAUUCAUAUUUUAUUCCUUUCAGUCUAUUUGUACUAUUAAAAAUACCACUGUUCCAAUUUCACAUUAAUCUAAUUUAUACAGACUUAAUAAUUGAUGUAGCACAUUUCCUUUUCAAAUAUUGUUCAUACCCCUGUCCCACAGGCUUUUCAAAAAUAUGCAUAUGGCUUAUAGUUUCCAUAAAGUCACAUGACAUACUUUAAGGAUAUCUCCUAUCAAAAAUUGAGGGCUUACUCCAAAUCUGACAGCUUACUCCAAUCUGACAGGAUCCCAAAAAACACUCCUCUAGGAAGAAUUUAAGCUUAUUAGUACUCUUUUACUAGAUUGUUCAAAAAAAAAAAGUACCUUUUCUGCUCAAGUGUUCAUCUAUUUCUUCUCUCAUGCAACACUUGAAGUCACAGUUCUGUUUAUGAGACUGCAAUCAAUUCUUCAGUAGUCAAUUAGAGUAUCUCAAAGGUGUAGGUUUUGGUGAAUAAUAAAGCAAUCAAUUUGAGCUCCUGCAGUCUUGUUCUUAUUUUAGUAUUUCUGAUAAUUACAAAAUAAAUACUCAGAAAGCCAGUUCCUACAUCAUAUUUUAUUAGUGGGAUCAAAGGCAGACUUCUAACACAAGCACUGCUAGCUGAGUUGUCACUGUAAUACUCACUGCAGAUUAAUCAAGAACAAUUUUACCUGCACCAGUGUUCACUGCAGUUCUAGAACACAAGAGAACUCUGCCAGAAGUUUUGAUUUAUGCUGACUGUUCAGUGGCCUGCUGGGAUUCUUACUCAAGUAAGAAAUAAAAUGAAAAAAUUGUUGCCAAUGAGAAAAAAAAAUACUAUAAUUGCAAUUUUUUUUAAGGUAAUGUUUCAGAAUUUCAAACACAAAAAACACCAAAUAGAUAUUAAGAGAAAUAUUACAGAAACUUCAAAGCUAAUAUAUAAUGGAAACAUAUAUAUUAAUUAGCAUCUAAUUCUUUUCCUUUGGUACUUAAAUCUGCAGCAUUACAGUCAUUUUACCAAAAUCAGAAAUCAGACAUGUUGCUUGGUUUCCAUAACCACUUUCUCUUACUAAUCCAAAAUGUACUCCUGAACCCAUAAGAUAGAGCAUGAUCCUCACAGGUGAAUAUUUAUAGAGAAUAAUGAUGGAAUCUGGUCGCAUUUUGAUAAAAAUUGUGCUGAAAGAGUCGCCUGAUGUUCUCAAUGAAGACAGCAGCAGUACAAUUACCUUGUAGUAACUUCUUUUAACACUAAAAACUGACAUGAAAUUGUCUUCAUGAAAUCCUUUCAUUAUUCCCUGGAACAAUGCUUGAGGCAUUAUGCCUGAUUCUGUCAUUAUCACAGCUCUACAUCUUAUUAAUGUAAACCAGGAGUAGAAAGAGAGAUGGUGAAUGAUAUUAAAAUCUGCCAUUUUGAGAAUAAUGUUCCAAAACAGAUCAAAGUGCUUGGAUGAUGCCUCCCAGUUCUCGCAGCUUUCAGUAUCAGUUUAUAAUGUCACCAACAAUUUCACUGCAUAGAAUCAAAAAAAGGCAGGUCCUCCUGUUCUCCAUUUUGGCUCAUUGAGAAGAUAUAGCUCAUCAGAAUGUUGAACCCGGUCCAUUGUUUCAAUUGCUUUAAAGCAAGAAAAAGAAGCAUCCUUCCUAAAUUAUUCCUCUUUGCCUCAUGCAUUUCGGCUCUGCAUCUCUAACACUAGAAUCCCAAACUAUUUCCUCAUAUUACAUGCAGCCUGGCAGAAGCAAAAAUACAGUUAUUAUUUUCUAUGUAGUUUUCACAACACAAAAGCAUUAAAGCUGCUCUUGUGAAAAGAUAUUCUCAAAAGCAAUUUAGUUUACAGUGCUUUUCUUCCACUUCUUGUCUCCUUUCUACACUUUUUGCAGUUACCCAGCUAAAGAGGAGAACGUGCCAGCUCCAUCUAGUUCAUAGAUUACAGCUAUCCUUUGGAAGCAGAGAGCUUGAAAGGUCAGGUCCAGUAAAAUGGAGGACAGACACUGAACAGCAGAAAAUCCAAGUGAUGAAUACUACUCAGACUACUCCUCUGGCUGAGACAAGCAACCCAUUGUGCCACCGUUUGUGCCUGGGCCACCCCUGUCAUAGGAAGAUCUGAGACCAGAAUCCAAUGGGAGUCUGAACAGAAUUCUGGAGUGGCCACAGGCCCCAGCCAAAGCCAUCCUGAGUGACAUGAACGUCCAAUUCAGCUGGGAGGGUAGAACCAAAUAUACCCGAUGCCUGGGCUUGUUUAACUGCCAGUUUUGCCUGUUGGAAAGCAUCCUUUUCCAUUCUCCACCAGUCCCAUAGUUGCCCCUUUUUCAUGAGUCUGUAUAAUGGUCUCAGCAGCUGUGCUAAAUGAGAUAUAAGGGAACAGCAAUAUCCCAAUAUACCUAAGAACUCCUGCAGCUGUUUUGGUGUUGUAGGGACUGGGAAUGCCUGAACCUUACCUAUGACAGCACUGGUAAUCUUUCCCAACCAAACUACCCCCAGGAUUUUCACAGACAGUCCUGGACCUUGCACCUCUGAGGAUCUAUAGCCCAUCCUCUUUCUUGCAGAUAGGUAGUCAAUGAGUCUGCUGCUUGUCCUACUGCCUCCAGUGAGUCAGAUGUCAACAGGAGAUUAUCAAUAUAAUGAUAUAAGCUAACAUUAUUAGUUUUUUUCCAAUUAGCCAGGUCAUGCGCCAGUAGGUUAUGGCAAUAUGUCGGUAAACACAUGUACCCCUCUGGCAGGACCUGAAAGGUCCACUGCCUGCCUCCCCAUGUAAAUGCAAACUGGUCUUGUGAUUCUUCAGGAACUGGAAUGCUGAAGAAUGCAUUUGCCAAGUCUAGGACGCAAUGGUACUACUCAACGUGUCCAUUAGGAAAGCAAUAUUGGGUACAGCCACAUGAACAGGCAGUGUGACCUUAUUUAAUUCUCUAUAAUCUACUGUCAUUCUCCAUGUUCCAUCUGACUUUCGCGCUGGCCACAAGGGGGAAUUAUACAGGCUACGUGCGGGUCCUACAAUCCCAACUUUUUCUAAUUCCUGCACUGUCCUUGAUAUCUCAUCUUUCUCCCCCCAGAGUCUAUACUGUCUCACAUUAGUAAUCUGGCACAGUUCCAGCAGGUGAAUAGGCUCAUACUUCGCAUGGCCUCUCAAUGUUGCCUGCACCACCCAAACACUAAUGCACCUUUGUUGAAGUCUGACUUCUCCCACAGUUGUCUGGAGAGCCAGACCCCAUAAAAUGUCUAUGCCCAAGGUGUACUCCAGGACCGGAGCAAUAGACAAUUUAUACUCCCAGCGCAGGAGACACCCAAGCCCCUGUUUUGACCAUGUUUGGGUAACUGGAAUGGUCUGUCUCCCAGAGCCACCGAUCAUUACUCUAUCCCCAUUAAAUUUAAUUGGAUCUCCAUAAAUAAUCGAUGCUUCCGCAUCUGUGUCAACCAACGCUAUAACCCUCUGUAUGUUCUUUCAGGACCUAAAAAUUAUCAGCUCAACAUAGGGCCUCUGGUCCCAUCUGGAGGCCCUAGUUACAUGGGGACUGGCAUCCACUGUCACACAAGUAACCUUGCAAUUGUCAAUACUUUUUCCCCAGAUGGCUCGGACAUAGUGGCCUGGGUCACUUGAGGCUUUUUGCUUUUACUGGGAACUAGGAAAUCCUCCAAGUUCUAUGUUGCCAUUGGUAGUUUGUCAAUAGUUCUCACCUCAGGGUUUUUUGGGUGAUUUUGAAAUUUUUGAUUGUCUAUCCACAGCCUCCACAGCUGGAGGAGGACAUGAGCGGGAUGGCAAUCAAUUUUCAUAAAUUGAACCCCAGCUCAGAUUAAGUUGUUAAACAUGUAGCAAUUGAGUAGAUCAGCAUGAUGGGAGGAUCAGCACAACAGAAAGGUGGUAUAAGGGAAGGGAAAAAGAUUACUUACCCAUAUCAGAAGAUUCCAGGUUUGCAGGGGAAAGCUCCACCAGGGAGGGAUCUCCAGAAAUGAAUAGCAGUCUUCCUGAAUGGCAGUCAGCCCUUAAAUGAGGUUUAAGAGGCGCAGCUAGGAUCCACUCCUUCCCAUCACACAGGUGAACUGCCCUCACCUGUGCUCCCAGGUCCUUUCCCCAGGUGAUCACUCAGUGGUUCAGGCCAUGACUUAACAGCUCCCACACACUUAGCUUUUGCUUUUUCUUUUAUUUACAGGCAACAAUCUGGAAAGGGAUAGCAUGAAUUAUUCUUGAAUUAAAUCCUAUUAAAGGAGAGAAAAAACACAGCACAAAGAAAUUCAGGAGGCUAAGCAAAGCCAGGAAAAAAAAAAAAUGAAGAUCAACACUGAAAUAUGAAUUCUGAAGUCAACAAUAUUCAACUACAUGCACUCUGUCCAGGAGAUCUAGAAUUAAGGCAAAUUCAAAGAAAUACAUGAAGAAAACAUUGGUUCCCUGUGUUAUUAACAGCUAUCCAAGGUCACUGAUCAAAUCACACAAUAGUUCAGAAAUGUAUAAAAAUGCAUUUGCAGGAGCCAAAUUUGCAGGUUGAGAAUCUGCAUUCUACACUGUGGCCUUUUUGUCAUGGAGAUAACCAACUUUUCUAAGCAUUUCUAAAAACUUCUGACUUCAUUCCCUUUGAAUAACAGGAAAUAUCUAUACACAUGAAAAGCAAUGUCCUGCCAUGAUUUAAGAACUAGAAGAGAAAUACAUACACACACACAUAUAUACAUUCUUCCUAUAUUCUAUAUAUAUUCUUAAACUUUCCUGCUUCUCCAAAUCAAGCAAAAAUUCAUUCUACCAUAAAGCAGAUAUUCACACGAGAGAGAUAUUUCACUAUACAGAAGUACAACAUUUAACCCACUAUUUUUCUCCACCUUCCUCCUUUGGUGUUAGCAGUAACACUUCAGGAGAACAUUUUUAGGAAAAAUACUUGUUAAUUAAAAAAAAUAACCUCCAACUUCAUUUUAAUGCUCAGCAUCUGUUGUUUUGGGAAAUUCUGUACAAAGCUACAUAAUAUUACACAGAAUCACAAAUGAAAUUAACCAAAGGAUGGCUCGAUGUGAAACACAUCUUUAGAAAGCAUGCUAAUUCCACACCAAUAACUAAUAAUGAUUGACAUAAAAGGAGUAAACAAGAACAAGGUUGAAAACACAAGGUUCCUUUAUAGUAUCAUAGCCAUCAAGUUUAAGGCAAUUCAUAACUUUGUUUUUAUUUUUUAAAUAAUUGGAUACUUGGUUGCAUAUCUUCCUCCUUUUAAGUCUAAAGCAUUCUUAGCAAGAAGGCAAAGUUUUUAGUGGAUGUCAUACUUAUUACCUAGUGCUCCUGACACUUUGCUUACUAAUGACUAUUGCACAGAACAAGCAAACCAAUAUUAUGAAUGAAUGCUAUUCUUCACUGGUUCACUGCUUCCAGCUGGGAUGGAGUUAACUUCCUUCACAGUUGUCUAUACAGUGCUGCAUUUUGAAACUGUGAUUAUAUCAGUGCUGAUAACACACCAGUGUUUUGGCCAUUGCUGAGAAGUACUUGCACAGCAUACUGCUUUUUCUUUUUCUCUUCUCUGCCUCCCUCAGAGAGUAAGCUGAAGGUGCACCAGAAAUUGACUUGAGAUAUUCCAAUCCAAAUGGCAUUAUGCUCAGCUACACAAGAUCAUGGAAAGAAGAAGGAACAUUUAUUGUUUUCAUCCUUUCAAGUAACCAUUACACAUGCUGAAAUCCUUCUUUCCAGGAGGUGGCUAAACAUCUGCCUAGCAAUGACAAAUAGUGAAUAAAUUCCUUUAUUUUGCUCUGCUUGCACACAUGACUUCGCUUAAUUUAUUAAACUUGUUUAAAUGAUGAAGACCUUGACCUAUGAGUUUUCAGCUUUCUUAUUCUCUCCUCCAUCUCACUGUGGAGGGAGCUAGCAAGCAACUGCGUGGGUUCUGAGCUGUUAGCAAGAGGGAACACACCAUACAUGACCAUGCUCAAACACAACUGUUUUUGCAAUUACACUCCAUAUAGUUCUUUUUACUUUGGGGAAUUUUGAAUAAAGAAGACAGAUCUUGAUAUUUGAUUCCGUUUUGUCUAAUAUACUCGUAGCAGUUUAAAGGGGACGGAAGAUCCAAUUUAGAAUCAAAAAAUGCAGUCAUUCAUAAUUCAAGAACUUUAUUUAUGAAAGAAAUUUAUGAAAAACUUCAGGCAAAUAAAUGUAGGUACACUAAAAAUUAGAUUCAAGAUUGCCAAGCUGCAACCUAAAGCUUGUCUUUUGUGUAUGAAGAAUACUAUAUAAAUUAGUAAAAUAAUUACUAAUAUGUAUAAAAAUAUUAUGGGAACUACCCUUACUGACUGUGUGUCAUGGUUUUACGAUUUUUGGUUACUGGUAUUCUAUAUCAUAACAUAAUGUAGUGCAUUGGGAGUUAAAGUAUUAAUUCUGCAGUUCUGGGUACCUGUCCGGAAGAGAAGAAGAGCUACAUACCCCAGGGGGCUUUGCAGUCAGAGAGGAGAUAUAACCUCUGGCAAGGUCACCUGAUGCCUCCCUUUUCGAUCGUCAGCCUCUCCUCACUACUACUUGUCCUGACUGCAUGCAUCGCCUCAGCACUACCAUAAGGCCUACAGUUUUCAGAUAAUCUUUCUCUCAUUAUAUUUAUUAGCUUCAAUUCAAAUUAUAUUGUAUUAUAGUGUGUUAUCUUUCAUUCCGAUACUGUAUUUAGUAAAUUAGUUUGUUUC
rnacentral:lncRNA from 1 species